GAUCAGCCAGUAGCUGCAGCCUGAAGCCUGAUGGCAUGACGGCACUCUGGCUCCGUGGGAAAUGAGUCCGCGCUCGGCUGGUGAUGCCUGGUAAGGCCUCUGGAGGCAGAAGCGUCAUGGAAGUGUGCUGACCAUGCUGUGGCCAUCCCAUUGCCUCCAGGCAAACCAGCCCUGACUACUUCUGUUAAUGCAUUACACUUCUAAAAACACCGCCUAUGAAAAAUCUCCUAUUCACAGAGUACCCAUCUUCAAGAGGAUGCAGGCAAAAUGCAAGCUGACUGGGAAGGCUAUGCCUGUCCUUUAUGUUCUGAUGGGAUUUAAGGACCGAAAGCUCUUAGGAGCUAUUUUGCUUAGUUAGCAUUAUGUCUAUUUCUCUGUGACAAGGAAGGAUAAUGGGUAAGAAUCUAUGCAUCAUAUAAAUGUUCAUCCAGCCCAUCAGAUUGUUUUAUUUAGCCAUUGAUAGUGGAGGCUUUGAUACAAAGAACUUGGCUGUGACCUCAGAUCAUUCUUAGUUGGUCUCCAGCCUCCCGGGCUUGACCUGGUUCUAAGAGGAAUGCCCUCACAAUGAGAGGCUUCCCGGCCCCCUUCCGUGGCGUGGGUUGCUGUUGAUUGAAGGCGCCUCUGGGCUGAGGCUCUCAGAUGAAAGAGCUAUGCUCUGUGUGGAAGCGCAUCGCAUCUGCCGGUGCACGCGUGUGUGUAGCUGAGACGCGUUCUGCGAUUUCUCUAGGAAACGCUCAGAAAAGAUAAAACCGUUGUCUUGCUCUUGUACCCCCAUUUCAUCGGAAAGAAGGAAUCUGCCUCUCCCUGCACUAGCUUUGCAACUUCGCAUGAAUCUGUAAUUAUUUCUCAAGAAAGAGUAAUAAGUAAAUUCUUUCAAAAGACGCUCACAUUAGACUUUCCCCAGUCAUGUCCAUCUUUUAUAUGUGAUCAAAUAAUAGUCCUUUAGACGCAUGAACAGAAGAAAAGUAAAGUGCUCUCAAUACGGGAAAGCCAGGGGCUGGUGUUACAGCCCAGCAUCGCAAGCCGCAGUUUGCAAUGCUAGUGUCUCAUGUCUCACAUCGGAGACGCGGCUGCUCUGCUUCCAAUCCAGUUUCCUACAUGGGGAGUAAAUCUGCGGAGAUUCUCUCUGUCUCUCUGUCUCUCUCUCUAUUCUCUCUCUCUCUCUCUUUCCUCUCUCUCUCUCAUUCUGCCUUUCAAAUAAACAAUGCUCUUUCACAAAACUGGAAACACUUUCACUUUGCAGUGCCCGAGUGCAGAGCCCCUCCCAGGGCAUGAGUGGGAAUGCAUCCCCGGCUGCGAUCCACGCUGCAGAAAUCAAACACUUCAAGGAAGGAGAAGGUUCACCCUGAGCAGAGUGACUUCCCGAGAGAGGUUAGACUCCCCCUGGAUGCCUGCGAAGCUGACGAGGCAGAGGUUGAAGGCUCAUUAGCGGGAAGCUGGAUUGGAAGUGGAGCCGCUGGAACUGGUGCCCAUUAGGGACGCUGACCCUUCAGGCAGAAGCUUAACCUGCUACGCCACAGCAUCGACAUCAUAUCACAGGUGAGUUA